rnacentral:rRNA from 1 species
GCCCAAUAGCUAGCCCAACCCCCUAAACACAAUAAAACCCCCUUAAUAACCCCAUAAGCACCAAAAAUGCAAAACAAACCAUUUUUCCCUCUUAGUAUAGGAGAUAGAAAAGAGCCCCGGCGCAAUAGAGAAAGUACCGCAAGGGAAAGCUGAAAGAGAAAUGAAACAACCCAGUAAAAGCCUAAAAAAGCAAAGACUAAGCCUUGUACUUU